rnacentral:rRNA from 1 species
UGCGAAGGGGGCUAGCGUUGUUCGGAAUUACUGGGCGUAAAGCGCGCGUAGGCGGACAUCUAAGUCAGGGGUGAAAUCCCAGGGCUCAACCCUGGAACUGCCUUUGAUACUGGACGUCUGGAGUUCGGGAGAGGUGAGUGGAAUUCCUAGUGUAGAGGUGAAAUUCGUAGAUAUUAGGAAGAACACCAGUGGCGAAGGCGGCUCACUGGUCCGGUACUGACGCUGAGGUGCGAAAGCGUGGGGAGCAAACAGG